GAUGAACGCUGGCGGCGUGCUUAACACAUGCAAGUCGAACGAUGAACCUCACUUGUGGGGGGAUUAGUGGCGAACGGGUGAGUAACACGUGAGUAACCUGCCCUUGACUCUGGGAUAAGCCUGGGAAACCGGGUCUAAUACUGGAUACGACCUUCUGGCGCAUGCCAUGUUGGUGGAAAGCUUUUGUGGUUUUGGAUGGACUCGCGGCCUAUCAGCUUGUUGGUGGGGUAAUGGCCUACCAAGGCGACGACGGGUAGCCGGCCUGAGAGGGUGACCGGCCACACUGGGACUGAGACACGGCCCAGACUCCUACGGGAGGCAGCAGUGGGGAAUAUUGCACAAUGGGCGCAAGCCUGAUGCAGCGACGCCGCGUGAGGGAGGAAGGCCUUCGGGUUGUAAACCUCUUUCAGUAGGGAAGAAGCCGGCUUUUGGGUUGGUGACGGUACCUGCAGAAGAGGCGCCGGCUAACUACGUG
rnacentral:rRNA from 1 species